AGCUGUGCAUGUAGAUGCCUCUGUGCCCAAGCUCAGUCUCUCUCGGUGGCCCCCCUUCUUCUGUCUGAAGACUAGCACAUGUUCCCCCACCCCCUGAUUGAUCUAUGCAGGGAGAAUGGGGAAAACGACUCUUUAAUUAAUCUCCUGCCUUAAUUAAUUAUCGUAAUGGCCUUCAACUUGGGGGACGGAGGGGCACAAUGUGCUUAAUACGUUUUUACAUCUACAAACACAUUCUCUUCUUGGCAGUGAAAGAAGAGGCCUGUUUUGGGUUUGGGGUCUGUGGAGUGAUUUAUAGGGGCCAUUAACACCAAAGAAGCCCUCCUGCUGUAAACUCAUGGCCUGGCUUUCUUUGGUCACCUGAAAUCCCACCCUCAACCUCUUCCUGUGCCCUUAAACUCCCCGUCUCCUCAUCUCACAUUUUCCUGUUCCCAAUAUUUCUCCUUCUUUUAGCCUGCUUCUUCCACCUGUGCCUGUCGCUCCUUUGCCCCACCAUGCCCUUCCCACUGCUUCUCGCCUUCUCUCCAAGGGGAAACGGCCGCCGAGCGGAAGCUGACAAGGCGGACACCUGUUGGCUGCAUGGAGGGAGGCAUCACGGGCACAGAAGGUGGGCCUCACCAAGAAGGAGGCUGAAGCUAAAGCAUCCAGCACCCACAGCACCCACGGCCACAGCCCACCACAGCCCCAACUGCCCUCCUCUAUGGUCUGAAAGAGCCCCCUGGAUCCAUAGAGGCCUCCUGAAAAUCUGUUAAGGGAGAGGGAGAGCCGGGGACCCAGCCUUCUCCUAAUCAGCUGCCCCCUGCCCCAGGAACACAGCCGAGACACCACUGCAGGACACGAAGGGCAGGGAGCUGGCCUGGUCUAGUGGUCAGAGAAGAUUAUCUCCACCUCGUCGGAGCAGGGACAGGGAGGCACCAAGACUGCAACCCUAAGACGGGACUCCCCAACUCCUGGAGCGGAUCAGCUAAGGGGCCAGGGGAAUAGGGGAUCUUCCCUCUGGUGGUCUCCACAGGAGGGUUGCUGCUUCAGUAAAGAGAGACAUGGGGAUGCAAUCAGAUGUCACAGGGACCCCUGUGGCCUCAGAGACCCCUGGCUUGGGGCUACAUUUACCCGGUUGGCCCAGGUUUUUUUUUCCUUUUUCCUUUCCUUCCCUUCCUCUCUCCCUGGGGGAGCAGGGGAGGGGCAGCAUUAUAACUUGAAAAUAAAGCCUCUGUGCUCAGCUGAGACUUUCUCCCCAGCCCCACUGGAAGCGACCAGGACCCAGCCCAGGCAAGGCAGGAAGGGUGGGCUGUGCUCAUGAGGCUCUCGCUUCUGCCCCAAGUUGUGCAGGGGCCUCCUAGCGUCCCAGGUAAUUCACUCAACAAUCCCUACACUUUGACUAAGGUCACAGGCCGGGAGAACCAGAGAGAACCAGACACCGUCCCUGCCCUCAGAAACAAAGUGUGGGGUGUGAGCGCGGGCCCCACAGACGGUGGUCCCCAGAGAGGGCAGCUCUGGCGGGGGGACCCACGCUGCUUGUUUCAAAGCUGCUCGGGUGAAUCGGCUGUGCAGCCAGGGUUAAAAACUGUUGUAAGAGAAAAGAACAUUCUGUCCAAGGUACACGUAGGUGUUUUCCCUUCCCUGGCUGACAGCGUCCAGAUUUUAGUCACUUCAUCUGAAGAAGGUUUUUCAGAAUUAGCUAAGCUCAACACUGCAACAGAAACCCCCUCCUCUAGGCCACCGGGCUUCAGAAGUAAACUUCUCAGCUUCAUUAUGUUGACUGGAAGCUGAGAUCCUGGAAGGUGUGACUCAAGAUGGGGCCCCAGGGACCCUGCAGCAGAUCCUCUUCUUGGGGGCCCCCAGCCACCCUCGUCCUCCCCCAGACCUGGGCACCCAGAUUCAGUUUGCCUGAGGCUGGAGAGUUGGGUCCACCUGUGUUCAAACCCCAGACGUGCUACCUAUCAUCCGUACAACCUCACGUGGGUCACUGUCACCUCCCCAAGCCUCAGGUCACCAUCUGUGAAAAGGGAAAGCUGUCUACUUCUCUUUAUUUGGGGGAAGACAAAAUGAGAAAGCUUAUGAACCCAUGGAAUAGGACUGAACCCUAGACAAGACCACAAUA